GAUACGCCGAAUCAAAUUACACUAGAUAACGUUGUUUUUAAUCUCUAUCUGGAUUUAAUUGCUCCCUAGAGAAGCGGGGGCACCGCAGUAAACGGUCUGGUAAUUAACAGGAAGCUAACAUGCUGUUUCGGGUAACGAAGGACUUAAGUUAAAGGAGCAUGAACGCUUUGAUCACCGUGACACGUGAAUUAUUAACAAGUUAAGGUGAACGUACAUAUGAAAGUGUGAUAUGGAAAAUACUGAACAAGCUGUUAGGCCUGAAAUAAACGUGGACGCUAGAAGUGUUUGAGAACCUUAACGUCUGCGCAAUAACGAUUCAUCUUGAACAUGAGGCCACGUCAGUCACCUAUAGGCGCCAUCGAUGGCCUCGAACAGAACCAGCCCUGUCCAAGGCGAAAUCCGAAAGUGCCAUGAUGAGGCCUCGCAACAAAUUCCUGUAAACAUUUACUCCGCUUGUGGACUGUCGUUCUACCGAAAUGGUAACCACGAACUUGUAUCACAAAUCGGAUGUCACAAGUGCGGGGUCCCUUCGGGGACGCCACACUCCAACAACACGUCCCCGCACCAGGCGGCACGCCCGAAUUUGGAAACGAGGAGGCAGCGGUGCAGUCGUCGCGAGCCUGGAAGACUCCGAGGAAGGUGCUCGACCGCGGAGGUGGUUCAGUAGUGCCACCCGGCUAUCACGAGGAGGCUGCGGUGUGGUGCCUGCGGCAGGAUCCUUUCUGCCUUGCGUCGAACUGCAGGGCGAGGGUCGAGACCUGUUCGACACAGAACAUGAUCCGUGUGAACUCAACAACCUGGCGUCCAGAAAGCCGUUGGUUUCGACCUCGGCAAGGGUGGUGCGUGGCGCAAAAGAUGACCAUAGAUUACUUGCAUUGAGGCGCUGCAUUCCAUGCUAUGCCUCUGUCUGUUCUUUGGGGUGGUUCAGAUUAAAGCCUAAUGUCUAAGUUGGAGGCGGGCUGUCUUGAGUUGAAAUUUUUCCUACGGCGAUGUAAUCUUUUGUUGAAGGACAAACAUGCACUGACACACCAUGAAGGUAGAUACUUAGGCUUCAUAUUUGCGGUACCUCUACGCUGAAACCACGAGCGAUUCUCUAUACCAAGGUGUGGUUGUGAACAAAUAAACGUAACAGGCGAUGUCAUGCUC